rnacentral:lncRNA from 1 species
GACUCCAGAGCUUUCUAGUGCUCACUGUGCAUGUGCAGUUUUGUCUGACAACUAGUUUUAGACCUUGGGACAAGCUAGGCCAACCAUUUUGGGAGUGUUUCAUGUGCGUAAUGCGAUGACCUAGUUGUGUCUUUGGAACCAAGAGGAGUCACCACCGCCGCCUCUGCCGCCUCUUCUCCCACCACCGUUGGUCCCCUUCCCUUCCCCUCUGGCAUCUCGUCGGAGGCUGAAGGGAGUGGAGAUUCAUCGUUUUCAAAAAGUUUUCUAGUAGAUCGAGUCCUCAGGGUUAGAAUCUCUCCAUGCCAAAUUUCUUGGUAUUAGGGAUUUAUUUCCUCCUCUCUGGCAACAGCAAAGGGAAAGGGUGGAAUCGCUUUCUCCAUGGCGACUACGUCGAAGAUGAGGACGCCAACUAUGGCAUGAGCAAUUUUAUCGGCAUAACCACGAAGACCUUUCUUUCCGGAUGGCGACAUCAAGGUGGAGAUGAUGUCGCUGCCAUGGAAUAUUUUUCUUCGGUCUCUUCUUCAUUUUGUCGUGGUUAGAUCUAGCCACGAUGAAGGACUAGGGAGAAUAAUUUUCAGAUCAAUUUUCCUCAUUCUUUGGUGGCAGAAAGAAGAAGAAGGAAGACAAAAGAGAGAAGAAGUUUCUCAACUCUGCCUGCAGGAAUGUUGGUCAUCGUUCGUUGGGCAUUUAUUCUUAGGCCUUUUGCCGAGUGUUUGCUUGUGCAGUCAUCCAUAUGAAGCGUCAUACAAGUUUGGUUUUGAGAUUUGGAGCUACUCACUGCGUGGGUAUAAUUUAGAUGAAAAUUAGUUUCUGAAUAUAUGUAUUGUAUUCCAGAGUGCUUGUAAUAUAUUGAUGUAUUCAGCUAUUAUAUAAUAUAAUUCUUCUUUCGACUAAAAAAA